UACAGAGGGGGCAAGCGUUAUUCGGAAUUACUGGGCGUAAAGGGCUCGUAGGCGGCCAACUAAGUCAGACGUGAAAUCCCUCGGCUCAACCGGGGAACUGCGUCUGAUACUGGAUGGCUUGAAUUCGGGAGAGGGAUGCGGAAUUCCAGGUGUAGCGGUGAAAUGCGUAGAUAUCUGGAGGAACACCGGUGGCGAAGGCGGCAUCCUGGACCGAGAUUGACGCUGAUGCGCGAAAGCCAGGGGAGCAAACGGG
rnacentral:rRNA from 1 species